AUUGAACGCUGGCGGCAUGCUUUACACAUGCAAGUCGAACGGUAACAGGCCGCAAGGUGCUGACGAGUGGCGAACGGGUGAGUAAUGCAUCGGAACGUGCCUAGUCGUGGGGGAUAACGCAGCGAAAGCUGCGCUAAUACCGCAUACGAUCUCUGGAUGAAAGCGGGGGACCGAAAGGCCUCGCGCGAUUGGAGCGGCCGAUGUCAGAUUAGGUAGUUGGUGGGGUAAAGGCCCACCAAGCCAACGAUCUGUGGCUGGUCUGAGAGGACGACCAGCCACACUGGGACUGAGACACGGCCCAGACUCCUACGGGAGGCAGCAGUGGGGAAUUUUGGACAAUGGGCGCAAGCCUGAUCCAGCAAUGCCGCGUGCAGGAAGAAGGCCUUCGGGUUGUAAACUGCUUUUGUACGGAACGAAACGGUCCGGGUUAAUACCUUGGGCUAAUGACGGUACCGUAAGAAUAAGCACCGGCUAACUACGUGCCAGCCGCCGCCGUAAAAC
rnacentral:rRNA from 1 species